GCCCCGCCGUAAACUUAGAUAUUCCAGUACAACAAAUAUCCGCCAGGGGACUACGAGCGCCAGCUUAAAACCCAAAGGACUUGGCGGUGCUUCAGACCCCCCUAGAGGAGCCUGUUCUAGAACCGAUAACCCCCGUUCAACCUCACUACUCCUUGCUUUUCCCGCCUAUAUACCACCGUCGCCAGCUUACCCUGUGAAGGUACUACAGUAAGCAGAAUGAGUAAUACUCAAAACGUCAGGUCGAGGUGUAGCGUACGAAGUAGGAAGAAAUGGGCUACAUUAUCUGAUCCAGAUUAUUCACGGAAGGUUGUCUGAAACGACAAUCCGAAGGUGGAUUUAGCAGUAAAGGGGGAAUAGAGUGCC
rnacentral:rRNA from 1 species